UCCUCCCGGUGAUUUCUCGGCCAGGAUCCCCCUCCUCAGGGGUGCCCCGGCAAUCCCCGCGAUCUCCUGUCCCCUUUGUCCCCGCAGCUCCGGGCUGCCCUCGGUGGCACCGCGCGGCGCUCGGGGCCGGCUGGACCGGGAAUCUCCUGCUCGGAGUGGCCGUGGUGGCGCUGGGCUGCUCGUUUCUCCAGCGGCAGCCGCAGAGUUCGGGAAGCGGCGGGAUCGGGAUUGGGAAUGUUGGAGACACCAACAGCAGCCGGGAGAGCCUCCUGAGGGAGCUGAGGGAAGCUCUGUGCCCGCCACGCUCACCCGGGGCUGAGGGAUGCAGGUUCUGCCCCUGUGGAUGGACACUGAACGGGACCAAGUGCUACUGGGUCUCUAGGGAAUUCAGAUCAUGGAACAAGAGCCAGGAGGACUGCGGGGAUCGCGGGGCAGAGCUGCUGCAGCCGCGGGAUCGGGAUGAGCU